rnacentral:rRNA from 1 species
UACGUAGGGUGCAAGCGUUGUCCGGAAUUACUGGGCGUAAAGGGCGCGUAGGCGGUCUUGUAAGUCUUGUGUGAAAUCCCUCGGCUCAACUGAGGAACUGCACGGGAUACUGCGAGACUUGAGUUCGGGAGAGGGAAGCGGAAUUCCGGGUGUAGCGGUGAAAUGCGUAGAUAUCCGGAGGAACACCGGUGGCGAAGGCGGCUUCCUGGACCGAUCACUGACGCUGAGGCGCGAAAGCCAGGGGAGCAAACGGG